UACGUAGGGGGCGAGCGUUGUCCGGAUUCAUUGGGCGUAAAGCGCGCGUAGGCGGCAGGGCAAGUCGGCCGUGAAAUCUCCCAGCUUAACUGGGAGGGGUCGGGCGAGACUGCCCCGCUAGAGGCGGGUAGAGGGCAGUGGAAUUCCGGGUGUAGUGGUGGAAUGCGUAGAUAUCGGGAGGAACACCAGUGGCGAAGGCGACUACCUGGCCUGUUCUUGACGCUGAGGCGCGAAAGCUAGGGGAGCAAACGGG
rnacentral:rRNA from 1 species